CAUUUUUCAAAAAUUAACGCUUUUUACUGAAGUUUCACCCAAAAAUUUUCUUUUUUUCCACUUGAGCUGCAAUUUCGGCGUGGUUUUCCUUCAAUUGGCUAACCGUGGUCACAAACAAGGCAGGCACAAGAACGAACGUCAACGUCAGGGCAAAAUAAAGUCCAUACCCGUAAAUCGAGUAAUAAUAGAGCAAAACACAGGCCAAAACCAAAUCCAACACAUAGGUUAUGAUCGACAAGGCAAUACAGAUCACGUAAAACACAUCGAAACUGUGCCCCGUUUCGGAAAACUUAUCGGGGGACUCAAGCUGGGGCUUCAUGUGCUCGAUGUUGGCCAAAGAGGGGUCCCGCGAAAAGUGCACCACCACUGGAUACUCCUCGGCCAUGGCGCAUUCUUCCUCGACACGAAAACAACACUUUUCCGACACUAACCUCCAACUGAAUUGCGGUUUCAGAGUUGUUGAUGUGGAAAUUGACCGAUUUCGAGCGUCCACACGUACAGAAAAACGCACAUUUGCACACACGGGACGAAAAGAAACCGAUAACACAACCGGGAAGAAAAAUUUCUAGGGAUAGAGGAAUUUGAGUGGUGGCAGCACUGCGACUGCGCGUGGGACAGGGCCGGCUCCGGCAAUUUAAUGGCCCCUCAUUGACUCGCUUAAAAAUCAAUCAUUUGAAUAAUUAAGUGUGCACAUGACACUACUGCCAACCUAUUUUUAGUUUAAUUGUCACAUUGUAGAAAAAAAAACCCUGCGCCAUGUUUAUUAUCGCAAGAUCAAAAAAACUUGUUUGUAAUAAAGACGAGCAACUUUGCACAGUCCUUGAUUUAAAAUUAUACUUUCAGAUGAG